AGAGUUUGAUCAUGGCUCAGAUUGAACGCUGGCGGCAGGCCUAACACAUGCAAGUCGAGCGGUAGCACAGAGAGCUUGCUCUCGGGUGACGAGCGGCGGACGGGUGAGUAAUGUCUGGGAAACUGCCUGAUGGAGGGGGAUAACUACUGGAAACGGUAGCUAAUACCGCAUAACGUCGCAAGACCAAAGUGGGGGACCUUCGGGCCUCAUGCCAUCAGAUGUGCCCAGAUGGGAUUAGCUUGUAGGUGAGGUAACGGCUCACCUAGGCGACGAUCCCUAGCUGGUCUGAGAGGAUGACCAGCCACACUGGAACUGAGACACGGUCCAGACUCCUACGGGAGGCAGCAGUGGGGAAUAUUGCACAAUGGGCGCAAGCCUGAUGCAGCCAUGCCGCGUGUGUGAAGAAGGCCUUCGGGUUGUAAAGCACUUUCAGCGGGGAGGAAGGCGGUGAGGUUAAUAACCUCAUCGAUUGACGUUACCCGCAGAAGAAGCACCGGCUAACUCCGUGCCAGCAGCCGCGGUAAUACGGAGGGUGCAAGCGUUAAUCGGAAUUACUGGGCGUAAAGCGCACGCAGGCGGUCUGUCAAGUCGGAUGUGAAAUCCCCGGGCUCAACCUGGGAACUGCAUUCGAAACUGGCAGGCUAGAGUCUUGUAGAGGGGGGUAGAAUUCCAGGUGUAGCGGUGAAAUGCGUAGAGAUCUGGAGGAAUACCGGUGGCGAAGGCGGCCCCCUGGACAAAGACUGACGCUCAGGUGCGAAAGC
rnacentral:rRNA from 1 species